rnacentral:lncRNA from 7 species
AGAAGCAUGUAGUGGAAAGUGUUGGCUUGUUCCUUUUAGGAUCGUGAAAGAAAACAGUAUAGUAAGGCACCUGAUGCAGGGUAAUGAACCUAUAAGUAAAAGGAAAUCUUGCUCAAUGGAGGAAUAAUGAAGUGGAUGGCAUGAAGAUGCUGGCCAGGGGGUGCUGGAGUCCAGGAUCUGCUUAAAGCAGUUCACACGCUCUGGUUUAAAGCAGACAACAUGGAAUAUAAGAUGUUCAUAUUUCAGAGAUAUAUUUUACAUUCUGCAGCAUUGAAUGGAAUAGGAAAGAAAUUUCUUCUCCUUCUUAGUUCCAGGUACGGAAGUGGCUCUUCAGGGAAGCCUUAAGCAUUAGGAUCUUGCCAUAGAUAAAAGUUAGUCAUUUUGUGCAUUGGUAACCAAUGUCAACAAUAUAUGUAUUUCAGAGCAUAUUUACAGACUACAUUUCGUUUUUCUGAAAGUAAGGCAUUGUUAUGUUGUCAUGGUAAAAGAGAUCUCAGAACACUCAUUCAAAUUUCACGGGAGUCCAGUAGAAAGUUUUAAUCUCCUUUUUGCAGUUGGAAAAGAAGCAGUAAUCAUGUGUUCACAUUAACACCAAAUAGGUGAAAGAAGCUGAGGAUUCUCCCCUUCCACAACAGGUCCAUGCCUCUUAUUCUAUUUAAUGGAAAAAAAUGGCUUAUAGUUUGGGUUGCAGUUGUUCAAUCUUACUUCAAACUUAUAAAAAAUACAGCAAUGCAUUUGAAAUUUCAUCAGUAUGGCUUUCCAAAUGGAAGAGUGCCAGCCUUUCUCUGUGUCUGACAGUUUUCACUACUGGAAUUUCAGCUCCCUAUUUGCUGGACCCACUCGAAAUGUUAUGGACAUAACAGACACAAGGAAUAGUUCUGCAAAUCUAGUGACAUCUAUUAUUGCCAAAAGAUUCAGUUUUGUAAGUAUGUUGUUUAGAUCAGCUUAACCUUCAUUUAUUUAUAAUGGGUUUCAACAAUUGUGUCUUCAAAAUAGAAGUAUAAAGUAGAAUUCUCAGCUGAGGGUGAUUUCAUUCUGUUCCAAGCAACAGCAGUGCUCAUAAAGUCAGCAGGAGACACCAUCUUGAAUUAACUCACAGUAUUAUUACAUUUUUUAUAAUUUCUACUUUAUUAUUUUGGAAACCUCAAGAUAAAGCCAGUUUUCCAUUGUACUAAGAAGAAAACUCAUGUUAUAAAAGAAU